rnacentral:rRNA from 1 species
CCUACGGGGGGCAGCAGUGGGGAAUAUUGGGCAAUGGGCGCAAGCCUGACCCAGCAACGCCGCGUGAAGGAAGAAGGCUUUCGGGUUGUAAACUUCUUUUCGCAGGGACGAAGAAAGUGACGGUACCGGAGGAAUAAGCCACGGCUAACUACGUGCCAGCAGCCGCGGUAAUACGUAGGUGGCAAGCGUUAGCCGGAUUUACUGGGUGUAAAGGGCGUGUAGGCGGGAAAGCAAGUCAGAUGUGAAAACCCUGGGCUCAACCUGUGGCCUGCAUUUGAAACUGUUUUUCUUGAGUACUGGAGAGGCAGCCGGAAUUCCUCGUGUAGCGGUGAAAUGCGUAGAUAUGAGGAGGAACACCAGUGGCGAAGGCGGUCUGCUGGACAGCACCUGACGCUGAGGCGCGAAAGCGUGGGGAGCAAACAGGAUUAGAUACCCGAGUAGUC